GUUUACUCUGCCCGCAAAGGGGUCGAGGCCCCCAGGUUGAAAACCACUGUUCUGUGAGGUAAUCAGAACCCAGACUAGGAAGCAACGGUAGCCCUUACAUGACUUGUGGGUUUUUCUCUAAGCGACACAGAGAUCCAUUAGCUCCUCUCUCUCUGUGUCCCUCAGCGACCCAGCCGCUGCUCCUGUUUCAAAGAUUUCACAGCCUCUCAAAACAGCACCCAGCUGGGGACCAAGUGUUUAAACACAAGAGCCCGUGACAGACGUUGCACGUUUGAAUUGUACCAGGCUACACUGGACACCAGUAAAUCUGGUAACAGACAGCCUGUAGUCCAACUAACUGACAGUGAGCAGCUGUGGAUGGGAAGUCCAAGAACCUAGUAGUUGCUCGGUCCCAUGAGGUGAGGUGUUUCUCCUGGUCUUCUGUACAAGCUGGAAGCCUGAAGAAGCGGGUUCUAACAGAUGUGCUGGCAGGCUGACCUUGAACUCAGAGAUCUCCUUG
rnacentral:sRNA from 1 species